rnacentral:rRNA from 1 species
GUUUGUGUCCCCACUACCCUGAACACAUCUGAUCUUGUCUUGAGUUUAGAAGCUAAGCAGGAUCAGGUCUGGUUAGUGCUGGUUGUUCUAUACACGCCAAACUGAGUGUUCCAGCUU